UUGGAUACACUUCAUUCAUGUUGAAACAAGUGUUGUUUGACAUUUCAAAGCUCAAGAAUGGAGAAAAUCAAGUCAAGACAAAAAUUGCCAAAAAUAGAAAGUGACUUGUAAUGGAAGUUUCCAAAAAUGGAAAGUUUUUGACCUCAAAAUUACAUGUCCAAGGAAGCUUCAAAUGAAAAUUUGUUCAACAUGAAAGUUGUAGAUCUUGGUUUCACCUUUCCAAAAAGUCCAAGAACUUGAAAUUCCCAUGCAUGGUUGGCAAGUUAUGGUCCAUUCAAU
rnacentral:lncRNA from 1 species